GUUCUUGUUGCUUUGGAGACCACAGGAGAGGCGGUGGUGAUGGCCCAUCGCUUCAGCCCUGUGGCAUCCCCACAGGAUCCAUGGGCAUCAAGGAAUUUCCCUGUGCUCCUCUGAAGAUAAACCGCUGCCUGCACCAGCCUAGCAGCUUCCAGAAGCUGUGGAUGAGAAGCAAUCUCCCACCAAAAGCCAGAGCUCACCUGCAAAGCUUCAAUCCCAAGCAGAAGGAAGCCUCCGUUUUUUCCCCCCAGAUGAGCCUGAAUUCACCUCCAGAAAGUCUCAAUGCAUCACACCAAGGGUCACACACCUGCUCAUGGUUCUUCUUGAGGCAAAGCAGCUCCUCCUUCAGGGACUCCAGCUGGGCCUCCAGGUCACACUUGGCGAGGGUGAGGUUGUCUAGCACCCUGCGCAGGCCACAGAUGUCAGCCUCCACCAGCUGUUGCAGCGAGCGCUCUCUCUCGUACCUGUAACAGGGAAAGUGCAGGAGUGACAGUUAGAGGGCAGGAAGGGGCACCAGGACAUGACUCCCAGCUCGCAGCUGUAAGUCCACUGGCCUGCCCUUUGCCAUCUAAUUGUGAGUUGGCUUAUCCUGUGUAGUGUGCUCAAAGCCCAGAAAGCAACAGGAUGUUCCCCACUCAGUCAAUACUAAGCACCUGAGAUGAACCAAGGGGAGCAGCUGGUACUGAGGAUACUGUGAUGGACACACAGCCAGCACCUGCCUUUACACACAAUGGCCCAAAAGGGAGGUGGCAAAGUAACCAGGCAUUUGCAACACAGUGCAAUCACUGCAGGCCCCUCUCUACAAGCCCCAUACCCAAAGGGACCCUGGAUUCCCUAUUAGAGUAAAAGCCACAUUGCCAGCAUGAGAGGAAGGAAAUGGCUUUCUUUAGCUCUAGAAGAGUGAGACUUGCACAGUGCCCCGAAGAAAGAUGAUAAAACACAAUGCCCUUCCAGCACCCAGGGUAGACCCUCCUCAGGUGGUGUCAACCCUUUGACUUUCACAUGUUUUCAUCUUAGGCUAUGGAGCAUGAUUUCUGCUAUGAAUUAUCAGCACUCACAAAUUAAUCAAGCUGCAGCACAGAAACAUAUCCUUAUUAAGGCAACAGUUUCACAGGAAAUUGCUUCAAGAAAGGAAAAUUUGGUACAAAAUUUAAGGCCAAGUCCCAGCUCUGCCACUCGGUACCCACAUGGCUUCUGGCAAGUCACACCAGCACCCCAAGCCUCAGGGUCCCCACCUGUGGAGGAGAUUCUAUCCCUGCCCGCCUGCUUCACAAGUUGCUUACCAGGUGGAUGAUGCAUUCUAGCACAUGUUGUAAACUGUUAAUGCUAAACCACUGGAGAGCGGAUAGUUUUUCAGGAUCUUGAGCUUAAUGCCCUUUGUUCUCUUCUGCUAUAACUACUGGGUUGGGGUCUGGGUCAAUGACAUCCGAUGCCACAUGAGACAGAAGCAGCCAACUUGGCAUUGUCCCAUCCCCAUCCAACCCCAACUCUCACUUGGCUCCUUCCCAUCCCUGUCCAACCCCAACUCACUUGGUCCUGAAGUCAUCUGCAGCCAAUUUGGCAUUGUCUAUUUGCACAACCAGCCUAUUGUUCUCCGAUUUGGUGCACAGAAUCUGGGGUAAGAAAGUAGGCUCAGUAAGUGACUUACUGAUCCCAGAGACACCUAUAGCCUCAGGUGAGAGGAAGUUUUAUUGGCUGAAGUUGAACCUACAGCAUCCGCCUGGACAACACAAACUCCCAAACGUGCAAGAGAUGCUUUUGUGGUGUGGGAAGGAAGAUGUGCAAGAGACUUCUUGGAAAAGGAUGAAGACAUAGAGUCAAAGGAACCAGGAGAUGGAAGACAGUAGCAAACUGAACAUAUAACAAAGACUUGCUUUCAUUUUGCCAGAUAUGAUGCUUAGCCCAAUAUAAAUAAGAAGAUCUGGCCGGACGCAGUGGCUCAUGCCUGUAAUCCCCGCACUUUGGGAGACCAAGGCAGAUGGAUCACCUGAGGUGGUGGGCCGGAUUUGGCCGACAGGCAGUAAGCAGAUUCCUGACCCCUGAUCUGGUGCACCGCAAACCUCACCUUCUGCUGGAGCUCCUGGAUGGUGCAGAAGUAGGACUGGUAGUUUCGGCACACGCUGGACUCGUGGCACUUGCUCCUCUCAUGGAGUUUGGUCUCCAGUUCUGCAUUGUCCCACUCCAGCUGGCGCACCUUCUCCAGGCAGCUGCAAAGAUUUCGAGGUGGAAGAGAGCUCACUGAGAGACCGGAAAAAGACUUCAUGGAGUAGGGGAUUUUCCAAAUAUGUUUUGAAUGAUAUUUUUUAUAAAGGGUUGGGGAAUGAGCUUCUCUCAUAGAGAACAAAAUAAACACAAUCAAACAUUUGGAAAAUGGACAACUCUAGCUACCAAGGAGCUUCAAUGACAAUUCCUCCAGCUGAUGGAUUUGGCCAAGAGUCAGAGAGUCUAGCAACAACCUAUGCAUUGACAGUUUAUUUUUGUGAUGACUCAAUUUUACUUCUGAUUGAAAAGCAAAAUCCUCUUAUCUUCUAGAUAUGGGAGAAAGUGACAUAGGUUCUAACCAAUCUAGACUACAGCCCUUCUUUUUCUUUCAAUGCUUAUAUUCUCUUUCCUCCUAUAUAAUGACCAUUUCUAGCAACAGGCUAAUUUAAGGUGUGGAGAGAAAUAUUCUUCUAGUCAAAAACUGUUUUUGAACACCUACAAUAUAGACUGAGUAAUGGGGCGGGCCCUUGGAAAUACAGCAGGAGAGAAGUCACACUGACCCUCCUCAUCCUGACUUACUUGAUCCUAAAGUCAUCAGCAGCCAGCUUCGCGUUGUCAAUUUGUACAAUCAGCCUGGCAUUCUCAGCCUUGCUGCACAGGAUCUGAGGAAAACGGAAAGACGGUUCACACACAAAGCACCAUACUCUAAGCUCCCACUCCAUGUGUGGUAUUUACGCUCAUGUCCAAGAGAAACCAAGAACCCAAAGCUCUCUGGACCUUAUGCAGAUUCCUCCUGCGAAGGCUUCUGCCUUCUCAGACCCAGCAUGCCCAGGCGAUCCCACACCUCACCUUCUGCUGGAGCUCCUCGAUUGUACGGAAGUAGGACUGGUAGUCGGGGCACACGGUGGACUCGUGGCACUUGCUCCUCUCGAGGAGUGUGGUCUCCAGCUCUGCAUUCUCCUGCUCCAGCUGGCGCACCUUCUCCAGGUAGUUGGCCAGGCGGUCAUUCAGGAACUUCAUGGUCUCCUUCUCAUGGCCAUUCAGGGUGUUUUUGCCGUAGGCCCCACAGAUUCCGAUGUUGCCGGGAAUGUGACAGGUCCCUGGCAAGGGACAAGCAGUGUGACUGGUUGGGGGCAGACAGAGGCUGGGGCGGCCCAGGGGAGUCGACCCCACACGGACUCUGUUGGCGUGUGCCACGUUGGCCAAGAGGCACAUGGAGGCAGCAUUGGCCUCUGCCACAGGCUGGCACCCAACAUCGAUAGGAGAGACAAAGACAUUUCUUGCUCCAGGAGCCAUGGUGCAACCCAGAGGGCAUGAGGAGGUGCUGUAGAAGGAGGUCAUGGUGUAGGGCUGAGGCUGCACAGGAGCUUCAGAUCAGCUGGGAAGGCUGAGCCACUGAGACUGAAGCCUCCUCUCCUCCCAACCCUUUUAUACCCCAUCCUGGGCGGGUGUUGGCUCCAGUGCUUUGACCUCCUGCCUUGAUUAUCUACCUGUUGUGGUGCCAUCAUCCUGUUACUCAGCUGCUGAGUUUACCAUGAGAAGUUCCUCAGCUCAUUAAAGCAAUGUUGACAAAUCUGAGAUGCCUCUUGGCUCUUCCAUAUCAGGUUAGCUGUUGGUGGGAAGUCAGAGACUCACUGUUUCUGCUCAACAAACACCAGCAGUUGAUUCAGGCCCCAAUUGCUCUCUCUGGACUAUGGUCUCUGUGGAUGUGGUCACAAUGAAGGCUCAAAUCUUUCCGUCAGUAAUUUGUGUAGCAGGAGACACAGAGAACCAAUGGGACCCACUGGAUCUUUCGCCUGUGCAAGACUGAAUCAGCCUUUCCUUUGAAGAGAAAAUAUCAGUUAAUAAAACCAAUGCAUCUACUGAUA
rnacentral:lncRNA from 1 species